rnacentral:pre_miRNA from 1 species
AGUGGGAUUGCUGGAUCAUAUGGGAAGGGUAUGUUUAACUUUACAAGAAAUUGCCAAACUGUUUUCCAGAGUGACUGUAACUAUUUUUGCAUUCCUCCUGGCAAU